UUUAAUUAAUAAUUAGUAUGAUGAAGGCCAAUUCUUCAAAUUUUCAAAUUUUGAGGUUAUGAUUUUUUGAAUUUAACCAUAAUUGUCAAAGUUGGAUUGAGAGACAUAAAUCUUUAAAGAUACGUAUCUCAUAAAUUAAUUGAGAUAACGGCAUGAAAUGAAAAGGGUUUUAUAGCAAAUUUAAUUACAUUUUAAUACAUUAAAGGUCAUUUCUUUAAAUCUUAAAACAUUGGAAUUAUGAUCAUCUUCAAACUAACCACUUCUUUAUAAGAGAUUCAAUGUACUAAUGGGUUUAAUGAUUAUUAUUAGGUUGAUUAUUGUCGUAUAAUUGAUAUAUUGCACAUUUUCCCGAGAUUUUGACAUCUACCAGUUUAACCAAAAUAAUUUGUUUUCCCUCUAAUCGCAAGAAAUUUCAGUUAUUGGUACGUCGAGUAUUGGUACAAAAAAUCGUUUUGCCUACAAAUAAAAAAUUUUACAUUUUCUUUUUUUUGUUUAACAAUCUUUAAACUCUAAAUUUCUAAAUAACAAAUACUAAUACGUAAACAUUCUAUAUGGGGUAAAAAUAAAUAACCAGCAAAAUUAAUUCUUCUCCACUCUCACAAUAAUCACUUAAAAUAGUCUUAUUUUCAUCUCCUUAUUUUUGUAAAGAAAUAUUUUUUAAGAAACAAACAUCCUUAAGUUUUUUUUAAUCUUACUUUUUGAUUACAUUUUUAAUCCACAAAUCUGGUACAAGCUUUCUUCCACUUACACUGCGUACACCAUUGGUCCUUAUUAUCCAUACCAUAAACUUUCCGGCAUUUUUUACUAUCACCUCUCGCCCGACGUGGUGAUGCAGACAUUUUUAAUCCACCAAAUCCGCCAGGAGGUGACAUCUUUUUGUUCGCCAACGGUAUCGGGCCGCCCAUCAUUUUCUGACGAAUCGUACCAACAAGUUGACGUUGGUACUCUGGGUCUUCAUGAGGCGGACGGGUCAGAUCAAAAUGCGAAAGCGUUGGUUGUGGUGCUUGCAGCGUAGAAUGGUGUUCUUCCUCAUCUUCCUCUUUGAUAUCAUCGUAAUAGAAAAUUUCAUCACCUGGACAACUACAACAAAAAAAGGCCACCGACACCACCCGAAAAUAUCGUAAACGGAACUCGUAACGGGGCUUCAAGGAUACUUCGUUGAUCAACAACCUUGCUUUUAUAUUUAAACGGCGUCGAGCGGAUAAACAACGCGCGGAAUUCGCGUUGUAUUUUCGAUUUCGUUCGCGUAAACAGAAACGUUCGUCUACCAAAACGUUAUUUGUUGUUGUUAUUAUAGUGUGUUAACGAAUUAAAUUAUAAGAGGUAUAACUAAAAUCGUUUUAAAAUAAAUUUUGAUAACCUUUAAAGAAGUUGUCUACGAGAAACUUCAUCUUCAAAAAACUU